rnacentral:lncRNA from 1 species
GCAAUAUCAGUUUACCAGAGAAAUCAGUCCUAACACUACAGUUAGGGUAGUAGCCGAGUAAUAUACUGCACCUCUAAAAAUAUGUCUAGGUAUUUUUAUUGCUCAAGUAUGAAGUACCGUCCUACACUAAUUCUAUAUUAUAGAUCUGUAUGGGUUGGAGUAAAACUAAAACAUUUCUCAUAAACCUAAAGGUAAACAAUAAAUAAAGGGGCAGACAGACAGACAGACGGACCAAAUGUAAAUAGCCCGACCCAACAAGUGUGGUCGUUUCAAGUACGACACCACAAAAAUAACAGACUUUUAAAACAAAUCUAUUUCAGUAUUUCCAAACCCGUAGAUGGAUUUAUAUACCAAAUACACAAGCAAAUACCAGAAAAUAAAUAUCCAAAGGGAAGCUAAUUAAGACAACAUAAGACUCGUUCUGUCCUGAAUAUGCUUUCACUUAAAUAAUCUGUAAUCAGCAAACCAUGAAACGCAGACUCGUGGGAGGUUCAAAAUCUAGGUUGUUACCAAUACCAAGGGAAGUAAUCAGGACGAGUUUUAAUCGAAGGAUCAAUUCAGGCAAGGGACAAGGCGUUUCUCUGCAAUAAAAUAAUUCAGUAAGAUACAACUUUUAUUAGACAACACGCAUAUGAAUCAGCUGCACAUUUAAUAAGUUACAGUUUUGCGAGUCAAUGGUCUAUUUCUGCAGUCUAUAACAAGAUUUCUUAGACCAAGAAAAUAAAUUCUUUCAGUAUCUAACUUUCUUUAACGACUCACUCUGCCGUUCUGAUCAGGGCUUGCAUAUGGAUUUCGCUUGUUAACACUUUAAUACUUAAAUUUACCGUCCUUAAGUUCAAGUCAUAGAUUUGAGUCACUCACGUGAAUGCCAACAAAUAAUGACUCCGAACUUUUACUUGCUUUAACCCGCAAGUUAUAAAUAACUUUAACCUUAACAACUGAACAGCUGAACAGUUAACCGAAUCUCGUUAUUCGCCAACUGACAACUUUUAUUCAGUUCAAAGAACUUUUCAAAAACUCAACUCAUAAUUUAACCAGCGAACCGCUUUCUAAAUAAUUCACGCCUCAACACGUAAAUAUUCAAAGUUUUCCGCUAAAUCUCCAAUGCAAACCGUGAUCAAAAACCAGCCAGUUUUAGUCACUCAAAAUAUGUACAUGAAAAUCAUAGGAGGGGGAACUUCUUACCUAAAAAUACUGUAAAACACAUUUUCUUCAAUACACUAAUUAUAGUAUAUAAAAUAGCGCGUGAUUCCUACCGAGACCACUUCCAAAAAUAUCGCGCACAUGGUUGAAAAUUCCCCUUUUUACCUUACAUCUAUACACCUGGAAGUCUGGGCUGAGAAUGAUUUCUAGCAGACAAUAUCUGCACGAGCUAAAUUUUCCCCGGGAAUUCAAUCGAGCUCUCUGAUUGGUUGAGAAGGGAAAACAUUUUUAAUGCUAAUGCGAGGUUCGUUACGUCACUAAAAUUUAAUGAAUGAAAUAAAAAUCGGAAAGUAAUAAAAUAAUAAAAAGCAAUCUUUCUGGAAAAAUAAUUAAAAAUAGUAAUAAUGAAAUAAAUAAAAUGAACCAAAUAAAGUGACCCACAAACGUUACAUUACCCCCUUUCCCACAGAACAGAUAUGUCCGCAUAUCUGGCAAAAUCCAUGUGCUAGUUAACGCGCGCUGCUAUGCAAAGCUGGUGGUCUCGGGUGCAAGAAAUCAAAAUUUUCAAUUAAGAUUAAAACAUCUCCCCUCCUGAAAUAUACAAAUAAUUAUACAAGCUGAAAAUAAUUUUUUACUCCACAUUAUUACGAAAAAAUAUAUCUCAGCCACCACCAACCACUACACAUUAAUAUAUAUACAUAUAUAUCUAUAAUAAUCGACAACAAAUGGCAUCCUAUUGAUUUUUAUUUUCUAAGAGAAAGCUUAACAGCCCUCUUUAAGGAAUAAUAAUAAGUCCUCAUUUUGGUUUUAUUCAAAUGGACACCAUCUGUUGUCAAUAGAAAUUUUGAUGUCAACCUCUUUGGUGUCCAAUACACUAGAAAACCUUUAAACUCCCUUUUUGUCAAAUUUACAAGUUCCAGAUUAAUCUGGGCUCUUCUGCCUGCAUAUACAGACCUUGAAACUCUAGUUUUCAAUCUAUGAAACAAUUGAACUAUAACCACCUUUUUUACAUUUUUAGACUUCAAAUGUCUCAAAAACUCUUUAAAAGUCUCUAUAAAAGUAUUAACCUUGAAAUUAUGGUUAUCUAUGUCAUUACCUCCAAUUUGUAACACUAC